rnacentral:lncRNA from 1 species
AAUUUCAAAUAUUUGGCUUCGCGAUUGCGAUAAAUUAAUCUUACGGUGAGUUUUUUUUUCCUGCUUAUAUGUAAUUCAAUGAAUUGGGAGGAUACAUUUCUACAUUGGAAAUCACUAAACAUAUUCCAGUUUUGAAAUUCAAUUGAAUCUUACACUUAAUUUUCCUAGUUGACAGUUUUAGUUUGUAUGCAUUCCAUUGGAAAUCAUUGUUAGGGAUCAUGUUCAUCAGUUCAUGUGCUGUGUACAACGAUGUAGGAGUUUAUUGAGAUCACUCUCGUGUUUUAGCUGGAUUUUUGUUUAAGUUCUGAUAUGUACAAUAAUGAUCUGCUACAGAAGUAUUUAGAGUUAAAUGGUCACAAAUACACCUAAAUUAUCCCUUUUUUCGAUUUUCAUAUUUGAACUAUCCGAGUUUCCUACAUUAACUAUCACCUACUAUUUAUCAAAACACACCUCAAAUAUCAAUUAUUCACUUUUCCUACCUAAAAUAUCAUUUAUUUAGGAAAAAUGAACUAUUGAUAGUUGAUGUGCAUUUUGAUAAGUAGUUGGUGAUAGGACAGUUAAUAGGAAAUAGUGGAGUAAUCGGUAAAGUUGCUGCCAUGUGACCAGAAGGUCACGGGUUCAAGCCUUGGAAACAGCCUCUGGCAUAAAUGCAAGGUAAGGCUGCGUACAAUACACCCUUGUGGUGGGGCCCUUCCCCGGACACCGCACAUAGCGGUAGCUUUAGUGCACCGGGUUGCCCUUUUGAAGGGGAGCCUUGGAGUAACUGGUAAAGUUGCUGCCGUGUGACCAGGAGGUCACUAGUUUAAGCCUUGGAAACAGCCUCUUGCAGAAAUGCAAGGUAAGGGGGCGUACAAUACACCCUUGUGGUGGGGCCCUUCCCCGGACACCGCACAUAGCGGUAGCUUUAGUGCACCGGGCUGCCCUUUUAUAUACCUAGUUCAAGUAUGAAACUCAACAAAUAAGUAUACUUUAGGAGUAUUUUUGAUCCUUCACUCUAAUAUUUAAUUAUUCAUGCAAUAUAAAACCUUGCUGACAUCAUUAGAAACCAUAUGCAAGCUCUGAACUUCAUUGUUUCUAGUAGAAAGUGCACGUGGAUAGAGCAGAAUGGUUACAAUGAAUCCAUGCGUACUGUGACUAAUUUGGGAUUGAGGCUGCAGAGGUGGAUCUAAAAUUUAAAGUUGAUUGGUUCGACCUUCAAGAUUUUUAAUAAUGAACUCAUUCUGCUAUUGAAAUUACUGAUUCAGAUUUAAUAUUCGUUUAAAAUUUAGUGUUUUUUCACGUGUUAGAAACACUGGGUUUGGUUAAAAAGAUACUGCAUCUUUUGACAGAAAUAUUGCGUAAGGUUGAACCGGCAGGCCACUAUUGACGCAUAGUUCAUUGUAUAGUGGAAACAAAACAUUGUCUUUUAAAUUAGUAGUUAGUAGUUACUUUGAGGAAAUUAAUAAUUAAAACAUCUAGUAUAUCUCUUGCUAAUGAUAGUGCCUACUUGGAAGUUGUCUUGCUAGGAGAAACUAUUUCCAAGUCUUCCUUCUCAAAGUUAGCAGUCGAUCAUGGAAAAUAGAUAUUCUUUCGGUAGGGACAUACUAAUAUUACUAAAGGGGUCCUUAGUAUGUGAUGGACCUGGUUCGGUUGAGUGUUUGGGUUUUGAUGCUAUGGAGUUGUCGCUGAGAAGUUGCUUCUAUGUAUCCACUAAUUAUAGAAUUCCUAAUACAAUAAGAUUACACAUUCUGGACAAACUCUUCCAAUUUAUGAAAAACUUGAAUAGCUAAAAACUUUUCACUUUGUUUUUCUUGAGUACUUUACAACUUUGUAUAACGUGCUGUCUUGGUCGUUUUAUCCUCCUUACUUUGGUGAUGAUGGCUUGGUCUUAGAGGACUUACCAGUGAUAGCUUUCGUCACCUUUGCAAUUGAGUGCUUGACUUUUGAUCCAACGCCUGACAAUAUGUUCUGAUGUUUCUUGUGUUGAACUUUAAUAUCAGCAUCUCGUGAGAUUUCUACAAUCACUGUAUCUUCAGAACUUGACCGUUCUCUUGUCUGUUGAAUUCCUUCCUCUUCUCUAUCAUUGUCUUCUCUUUCUUCAGCAAAGUUUUCCUCCAUUUUUGAUGUCUCUUUAACUGGUACAUGCAUAAGGUCAGAAACCUUAGCUUGCGUCUCUCUUGAUCUCGAUUCCUCUGGUGCUUCUUUUGAAUUACAUUCCAAUUCUUUCUCGUUUUUGUAAUUUUCUUGACUUUUGGCCUCUGCACCCAGUUGCACAUAUGGGGUAAUGCUGUCUUUGGGCGUACCAUUGACGCCAGUGCUGCUUGUUGGAACAGUUUCCUCCCUCUCUAAUGUAAGUAGAGGAUAUGCUGCUUGAUCUUGUAGCUGCUUAGUUGCAUUGCUUUCACUGCUCACCAUGUUAUCCAUUGCUAUCUCCUUUUCCGGAACCUUAACAGAUGUCAAUGAUGUCAAAUGUUCUGUUAUUUCUUCUUGCUCAUUCCUUGUUUUUUCCUCUUGUUCACCUCCUACUUGGGUAAUUGGAGCAUUUUCAGUCUUUAAUUCUUCUUUCUGUGUUUCUUUUGUUUCAUCGCAUGUUAUCAUCUCUCCGAAACCUGCUGCUGUUUUUCUUUCUGAUCCAAAAGGUUCCAAACUUCCUCUUUCAGGUUCACUUGUUGUUGUUCCCUGCUCUUGCUGUACCUGUGUUGUGCUGUUGUUUGAGGAAUCUUGGCCGGUGCUCUCUCUUAAGUCUUCUUCUUGUUCCUCCUAUGAGUUCAUAUCUUACCGUCAGAAAUCUUGAUUGAAUUGUUGCGCGAGUAAAUAGGGGAGACAGAGGGGUGUAUGAAAAGAUUGGAAUAAUGUAUUUUGCUUCUAUUUUUUUAGCUUUUUUCCUCACUGUUUAUAGUCUAGAUCCAGUUUUAUAAUUCAGAAUUAUGAUUUCUUGUAGCAGAUUGCAAAUCGGCAUUUAUGUUAUACUCUGCCUGUGUAUAUGAAAUGUUUCAUGCAGUUGACCAUGCAUAAUGUUUUCACGGCAACAUCUUUUCAAUCCCCUCUUUGCACGAGAAUACAAAAACUGAAAAUAAUAUAUAGUCAUCUAGAGAUUUGUGACCUUAACUAACUUGGAGUUGUGGCUUAGAUGUUGUCAUCGUUGUUGUUCUGAAAUAUUGUGCAGCAGGAGAACCAAAUUUCUAGGUUCAUAAACAUGCAAUAAACUCAUAGAUUCUCAGUAGAUGCUAAUCAGCUAACGUUGUAAGUUCUUGUUCAUUUACCUUGUUAGUAUUGUCCUCCACCCUCAUUUCUUCUGAAGAAAGUUCAAUUGCGUUCUCCACUCCACGCACGUCUUUAACCUCUUCUGUGGUUAGGUUGGCUUUUUGAAGGUUCUGCAGAAUAAAAAAAGAGCGAUACAGUGAUUUAGAAGAAAGAGAAAGCAUUUCUAUUUUAGCUUGGGGUUAGAUAUAUGAAUUGGAAACAGCCUUGUGUGGUCGCUUAACCUCUUGAUUGGGGGUUUCUGAAACCACUUUGCAUUCUUUAGAGUUAUUUGUCACCAUCUCUUCUUUGGCGGAUGUUAGAAGCUCGUCUAAGCUCCUUUCUUCUUUUUGUAGGACAUUCUUAUUUGUCCCAUCAUCAGCAUUGAUAUCUUUAAGUUCUUUUAUCUGUUUGGAUUGAUAGGUUUUGUUAUGACUAGUUUAGGCACAUGAAAGAAUAUCAAAAUAUUGGUAGAAGGAAGCCACUUAAUACCUCAAUUUCAACUUCUUUGCAAGGUCUCAUUGUUUCUUUGACUAACAGUUCUGCCUGUUUUCCAAUUAAAGCUUCUUCUUUCUCUGUUAAUUGUGUUUCAGAUUCAUCAAUUCUUUCAAUGACAGCUUCUUCCCUGUUUUGUUCUUUGAGUUCUUCUCCAAGUGGGUGUUCUUUAGGUUUCUCGUCAAUCAUUGGUUCUUCAAGUUUCUCUUUAACAACUAGUUCUUCAGAUUUCUCUUCAACUGGUAGAUUCUCGGGUUCUUCUUCAACUGCUGGUUCUUCAAAUUUUUCAGCUGCCGAUUCGUCAGGCUUUUCUUCAACUGAUGGUUCUUCAUGUUUUUCAUCGAAUGUUGGUUCUUCAACUGUAGAUUCUUCAGAUUUCUCCUCAACUGUUGGUUCCUCAGGUUUUUGGUCAACUACUGGUUCUUGAGGUUUAUCUUCAAUUGCUGGUUCUUCAGGUUUCUUUUCUAGUUCUUCACGUGUCUCUUUAACCACUGGAUCUUCAGGUGUUUCUUUCACCUCUUGUUUUUUGUGUUUCUCCUCAAUUGCUGGUUCUUGGGGUUUCUCUUCAAAUGUUUCUGCAAUUGCCAAUUUCUGAGGUUUCUCCUUUAUUGCUGGUUCUUCAGGUUUAUCCUCAACAAUUGGUUCUUCAAGCUUUUCCUCAACCAUUGGUUCUUCAAUUUUUUCCUCAACCAUUGGUUCUUCAGGUUUUUCCUCAACUCCUGGUUCUUCAGGUUUUUUCUCAACUGCUGGAUAGUCAACAACAUCAUUGUUGGUAUUGCAUGGAGUCUGAGUGUCAGACUUCCCGUUUGAAUCUAUAACUGACAUAUUCUGUAAGAAAAAUUUGAAGUUUCACUUAGUCUUCCAAUAGAUAAACAGAUGUGAAUUGUUGCACAUUCAGAGCUAAUAGUACAGGUAAAACUUGUGAGUACUUGAUCCUCACCUCUUCCAACAAAGUUACCUUUUCAGGCUUCGCUUCAACUUCAACUGCUAGUUUUUCAAGGUUCUUUUCAAUUGCUAGAUCUUUAGUUGUUUCUUCAACUGCUGGUUCUUCAGGUUUCUCUUCAAAUGUUAGUUCUUCAAGUGUUUCUUUCCAUGCUGGUCCUGCAAGUGUUUUUUCAACUACAAGCUCUUCAGAUUUCUCUUCAACUGUUGGUUCUUCAAGUUUCUCCUUGAAAACUGGUUCUUCAGUUUGUUUUUCCACUUCUGGUUCUUCAAGUUUCUCUUCAAUCACUUGUUUUUCAUGUUUUUCUUCAACUUCCAGUUCUUCAGCUGUUGGACAGUCAGCAACACCAUUGUUGGAAUUGCCUGGAAUUUCACUGUCAAUCUUGUCCUUUGAGUCUAUAAUUGACAUAUUCUGCAAGAAAAGUUUAAAAUUAGAUUUAAUAUUCAAUAGAUUGACAUAUGUGAGUGUGUUACACAUAUAAAGCUAUUAGAAUGGAUAAACUGUGACACUGUUUAAUCCUCACCUUCUCUAGGAGAGCUUCCGUUUCUAGUUUCUGCUCUUCAAUUACUGGGUUGUCGUGUUUCUCUUUAACAACUAGCUCUUCAAAGGUCUUUUCAACCAUUGGUUCUUCAGGUUUCUCUUCAAGUGCUAGCUCUCCAAGUGUUUCCUCCCCUGCUAGCUCUUCAUGUGUUUCUUUAGCUGUUGGUUCUUCAAGUUUUUCUUCAACAGUUGGUUCUUGAGGUUUCUCCUCAGCUGGUUUUUCAUAUUUCUCCUUAAUUGCUAGUGUAUCAAGUUUCUCUUCAAUAACUGGUCCUUCAGGUUUUUCUACAACUGCUGGUUCUUCAGGGUCUUUCUCAACUUCUUGAAAGUGAGCAUCAUCAUCGUUAGUAUUGCAUGGAAUUUCACAGUCAGUUUUGUCCUUUGAGUCCGCAACUAGCAAAUUCUGCAAGAAGAAUUAAAAGUUUCACUUAGUCUUUUAGUAGAUAAAGCAGAUGUGAAUCAUUGCACAUACAUAAAUAAUAGGAUGGAUAAACUUAUGACAGUGCUUGACCCUCGCCUUAUCCAAAAGAGUUACCUUUUCAAGUUUCUCCUCUUCAACUGUUGGGUUUUCAGGUUUCUCCUCUUCAACUACUGGUUUGUCAGUUUUUUCUUCAAAUGCUAGUUCAUUAGGUGUUUCUUCCCGUUUUGAUUCCUUGAGUGUUUCUUCAGUUUUUGGUUUUUCAGGUUUCUCUUCAACCAUUGGUUCUUCAAGUUUCUCCUCCACAGUUGUUUUUUCAUGUUUCUCUUCAACUGCCAGAUCUUCAAGUUCUCUCUCAACUGUUGGUUCUUCAGGCUUCUCCAUAACCGCCAAUACUUCAGGCUUCUCUUCAAUUGUUGUUUCUUCAUGUUCUUUUUCAACUACUGGUUCUUGAGAUUUUUCCUUGACUGAUUCAUAGUCAGCAAUAUCAUUGGUGGUAUUGCAUGACAUUACAUAAUCUAUCUUGUCCUUUGAGUCUACAAUUGGAAAAUGCUGCAAGAAAAUUUAAAAGUUUUACUUAGUCUUUCAACAGAUAAACAUAUGUAAAUCCGUUGCACAUAUAAAGCUAAUAUGAUGGAUAAAUUUUGUGACAAUGUUUAAUUCUGACCUUCUCUAGAAGAGCUCCGGUUUCAGGUUUCUCCACUUCAACAACUAGUUCUUUAGGUGUCUUUUCAACCGUUGCUUCUUCAGGUUUCUCUUCAAGUGCUAGUUCUUCAGCUGUUUCCUCCCCCUCUAACUCUUCAGGUGUUUUUUUAGCUGUUCGUUCUUCAGAUUUCUCUUCAGCCGCAGGUUCUUGAGGUUUCUCUUCAAAUGGUAAUUCAAAUUUCUCCUCAACCGAUGGUUCUUCAAAUUUCUCUUGAAUAACUGGUUCUUCAGGUUUUUCUUCAACUGCUGAUUCUUCAAGAUUUUCUUCAACAUUUAAAGAUUGAGCAACAUCAUUACUGGUAUUGCAUGGAAUUUCACUGCCAUUUUUGCUGUUCAAGUCUACAACUAGCAUAUUCUGCAAAAGAGUUUAAUGUUUCACUUAGUCUUUCAAUAAAGAAGCAGACGUGAAUCAUUUCACAUACAUAACUAAUAAUAUGGAUAGCUAAUAAUAUGGAUUAACUUUUAUGACAGAUUUUCCACAAGAGCUACCUUUUCAGGUUUCUCCUCUUCAAGUGAUGGUUUCUCUUCAAAUGAUAGUUCAUUAGGCGUUUCUUCCUGUGUUGGUUUUUCAUGUGCUUCUUCAGUUACUGGUUUUUCAGGUUUCUCCUUAGUUGUUGGUUCUUCGCUUGUCUCCUCAGCUGAUUGUUCUUCAAGCUUCUCUCCUGUUGUUGAUUUUUCUGGUUUCUCUUCAAUUAUCGGUGGUUCAGGUUUUUUCUCAACCGGUGAUUCUUCUGGUUUCUCCAAAACCAUUGAUUCUUCAUGUUUUUUUUCAACUACUGACUCUUCAGUGUUUUCCUCAACUGAUGCAUAGUCAGCAAUAUCGUUGUUGGUAUUGCUUGGAAUUGCAUUGUCUAUCUUGUCCUUUGAGUUUACUUUUGGCAUAUUCUGCAAUGAAGUUUCACGUAGUCUUUCAAUAGAUAAACAAAUGUAAAUUUGUUGCACAUAUAAAAGCUAAUAUGAUGGAUAAAAUUUGUGCCAGUGUUUAAUCCUCACCUUCUCCUGAAGAGCUUCCGCUUCAAGUUCCUCCUCUUCAAUUGCAGGUUUUUCAUCUUUCUCUCCAACAACUAGUUCUUCAGGUUUCUCUUCAAGUGCCAGUUCUUCAGGUGUUUCCUCCUUUGCCAGCUCUUCAGGUGUUUCCUCCUUUGCCAGCUCUUCAGGUGUUUCUUUAGCUGCCGGUUCUUCAGGUUUCUCUUCAACCUCCGGUUCUUGUGGUAUUUCCUCUACUUGUACUUCAGAUUUCUCCUCAAUUGUUGGUUCUUCAGGUUUCUCUCUAACCGCUGCUGCAUUAGGUUUCUCUUCAUUGGCUGGUUCUUCAGGUUUUUCUUCAACUACCGAUUCUUCAGGAUUUUCCUCAAUGUUUGGAAAGGGAGCGACAUCAUUAUUGGUAUUGCAUGGAAUUUCACUGCCAGUUUUGUCAUUCAAGUCCACAACUAGUAUAUUCUGCAAAAGAGUUUAAUGUUUCACUUAGUCUUUCAAUAAAGAAGCAGAUGCGAAUCAUUACAUAUACAUAACUAAUAACAUGGAUAAACUUUAUGACAGUAGUUGACCCUUACCUUUUCCACAAGAGUUACUUUUGCAGGUUUCUCCUCUUCAAGUGCUGGUUUCUCUUCAAAUGAUAGUUCAUUAGGUGUUUCUUCCCGUGUUGGUUCUUCAUGUGCUUCUUCAGUUACUGGUUUUUCAGGUUUCUCCUCAAUUGUUGGUUCUUCGCUUGUCUUCUCAACUGAUGGUUCCUCAUGCUUCUCUCCCGUUGUUGAUUUUUCGGGUUUCUCUUCAGUUGUCGAUGGUUCAGUUUUUUUCUCAACCGCUGGUUCUUUUGGCUUCUCCAAAACCAUUUCCGAUUUCUCUUCAGUUGGUGGUUCUUCAUGGUUUUUUUCAACUACUGGUUCUUCUCUUUUUUCCUCAACUGAUGCAUAGUCAGCAAUAUCGUUGUUGGUAUUGCUUGGAAUUGCAUUGUCUGUCUUGUCCUUUGAGCUUACAAUUGGCAUAUUCUGCUAGAAAAAUAUAAAGUUUCAUGUAGUCUUUCAACAGAGAAACCAAUGUAAAUUUGUUGCACAUAUAAAGCUAACAAAUAUGAUGGAUAGACUUUGCGAGAGUGUUUAAUACUCACCUUCUCCGGAAGAGCUUCCGUUUCAGGUUCCUCUUCAAUUUCUGCUUUUUCAUCUUUCUCUUCAACAACUAGUUCUUCAGGUGUCUCUUCAACCGUUGAUUCUUCAGGUUUCUCUUCAAGUGUUAGUUCUUGAGGUGUUUCCUCCUUUGCUAGCUCUUCAGGUGUUUCUGUAACUGCCGGUUCUUCAGGUUCCUCUUCAGCCACCGGCUGUUGACGUAUCUCCUCUACUUGUACUUCAGAUUUCUCCUCAAUUGUUGGUUCUUCAGGUUUCUCCUUAACCGCUGGUACAUCAGGUUUAUCCUCAUUGACUGGUUCUUCAACUGCUGAUUCUUCUAGAUUUUCCUCAAUGUCUGGAAAGCGAGCAACAUCAUUAUUGGUAUUGCAUGGAAUUUCAUUUCCAGUUUCGUUAUUCGAGUCUACAAUUAGCAUAUUCUGCAAAAAGAAUUUAAUGUUUCAUUUAGCCUUUCAAUAAAGAAGCAUAUGCGAAUAACAGUACAUGCAUAACUAACAAAAUGGAUAAACUUUGUGAUAGUGCUUGAUCCUUACCUUUGCCAAAAGAGUUACCUUUUCAGGUUUCUCCUCUUCAACGGUUGGUUCUUCAUGUUUCUUUUCAAAUGCUAGUUCCUUGGUUGUUUCUUCCGGUGUUGGUUCCAUAGGUGUUUCUUCAGUUACUUGUUUUUCGGGUUUCUCUUCAAUUAUUGGUUCUUCGAUUGUCUUCUCAACUGAUGGUUCUUCAAGAUUUUCUCCCACUGUUGGUUUUUGGGGUUUCUCUUCUAUUGUUGGUUGUUCAGGAAUUUUCUCAACUGGUGGUUCUGCUGGAUAUUCCAAAACCAUUGAUUCUUCAGAUUUCUCUUCAAUUGAUGGUUCUUCAUGGGUUUUUUCAACUACUGGUUCUUCAAUUUUUUCCUCAACAGAUGCAUAGUCAACAAUAUCAUUAUUGGUAUUGCUUGGAAUUGCAUCGUCUGUCAUGUCCUUUGAGUUUACUUUUGGCAUAUUCUGCAAUAGAGUUUCAUGUAAUCUUUCAACAGAUAAACAGAUGUAAAUUUGUUGCACAUAUAAAGCUAAUAUGGUGGAUAAACUUUGUGACAGUGUUUAAUCCUCACCUUCUCCUGAAGAUCUUCCGCUUCAAGUUCCUCCUCUACAAUUGCAGUUUUUUCCUCUUCCCCUUCAACAACUAGUUCUUCAGGUGCCUCUUCAGCCGUUGAUUCUUCAGGUUUCUCUUCAAGUGCUAGUUCUUCAGGUGUUUCCUCCUUUGCCAGCUCUUCAGGUGUUUCUUUAGAUGCCGAUUCUUCAGGUUUCUCUUCAGCCAUCGGUUCUUGAGGUAUUUCCUCUACUUGUACUUCAUAUUUCUCCUCAAUUGUUUGUUCUUCAGGUUUCUCUUCAGGUUUCUCCUUAACCACUGGUACAUCAGGUUUCUCUUGAUUAACUGGUUCUUUGGGUUUUUCUUCAACAGCCGAAUCUUCAGGAUUUUCCUCAAUGUCUUGAAAGCAAGCAAUAUCUUUAGUGGUAUUGCAUGGAAUUUCACUGCCAGUUUUGUUGUUCGAGUCUACAAUUAGCAUAUUCUGCAAAAGGAAUUUGAUGUUUCAUUUAGCCUUUUAAUAAAGAAGCAGAUGUGAAUAACAUUACAUGCAUAACUUACAAAAUGGAUAAAUUUUGUGACAGUCCUUGACCCUUACCUUUUCAGGUUUCUCCUCUUCAACAGCUGAUUCUUCAUGUUUCUCUUCAAAUGCUAGUUCUCUGGGUGUUUCUUCCCGUAGUGCUUCUUCAUGUGCUUCUUCAGUUACUGGUUUUUCAGGUUUCUCCUCAAUUGUUGGUUCUUUGAUUGUCUCCUCAACAGAUGGUUCUUCAAGCUUCUCUCCCGUUGUUGAUUUUUCUGGUUUCUCUUCAAUUGCUGGUUGUUCAGGAAUUUUCUCAACAGCUGGUUCUUCUGGCUUCUCUAAAACCAUUGAUUCUUCAGCUUUCUCUUCAAUUGAUGGUUCUUCAUGGUUUUUUUCAACUAUUGGUUCUUCAGUUUUUUCCUCAACGGAUGCAUAGUCAACAAUAUCAUUGUUGGUAUUGCUUGGAAUUGCAUCGUCUGUCAUGUCCUUUGAGUUUACUUUUGGCAUAUUCUACAAUAAAGUUUCAUGUAGUCUUUCAAUAGAUAAACAGAUGUAAAUUUGUUGCAACAUAUAAAGCUAAUAUGGUGGAUAAACUUUGUGACAGUGUUUAAUCCUCACCUUCUCCCGAAGAUCUUCCGCUUUAAGUUCCUCCUCUUCAAUUGCUGUUUUUUCAUCUUUCGUUUCAACAACUAGUUCUUCAGGUGCCUCUUCAGCCGUUGAUUCUUCAGGUUUUUCUUCAAGUGCCAGCUCUUCAGGUGUUUCCUCCUUUGCCAUCUCUUCAGGUGUUUCCUCCUUUGCCAGCUCUUCAGGUGUUUCUUUAGCUGCUGGUUCUUCAGGUUUCUCUUCAGCCGCCAGUUCUUGAGGUAUCUCCUUUUCUACUUCAGAUUUCUCCUCAACUGUUGGUUCUUCAGGUUUCUCUUCAUUAACUGGUUCUUUGGGUUUUUCUUCAACAGCCGAAUCUUCAGGAUUUUCCUCAAUGUCUGGAAAGUGAGCAACAUCUUUAUUGGUAUUGCAUGCAAUUUCACUGUCAGUUUUGUCGUUCAAGUCUACAAUUAGCAUAUUCUGCAAAAAGAAUUUGAUGUUUCAUUUAGCCUAUUAAUAAAGAAGCAGAUGUGAAUAACAUUACAUGCAUAACUUACAAAAUGGAUAAACUUUGUGAUGGUCCUUGACCCUUACCUUUCCAGGCUUCUCCUCUUCAACGGCCAGUUCUUGUUUCUCUUCAAAUGCUAGUUCCCUGGGUGUUUCUUCCUGUAUUGGUUCUUCAUGUGCUUCUUCAGGUACUGGUUUUUCAGGUUUCUCCUCAAUUGUUGGUUCUUCGAUUGUCUCCUCAACAGAUGGUUCUUCAAGGUUCUCUCCCGUUGUUGAGUCUUCUGGUUUCUCUUCAAUUGCUGGUUGUUCAGAAAUUUUCUCAACAGCUGGUUCUUCUGGCUUCUCCAAAACCAUUGAUUCUUCAGCUUUCUCUUCAAUUAAAGGUUCUUCAUGGUUUUUUUCAACUACUGUUUCUUCAGUUUUUUCCUCAACGGAUGCAUAGUCAACAACAUCAUUGUUGGUAUUGCUUGGAAUUGCAUCGUCUGUCAUGUCCUUUGAGCUUACUUUUGGCAUAUUCUGCAAUAAAGUUUCAUGUAGUCUUUCAAUAGAUAAACAGAUGUAAAUUUGUUGCACAUAUAAAGCCAAUAUGGUGGAUACACUUUGUGACAGUGUUUAAUCCUCACCUUCUCCUGAAGAUCUUCCGCUUCAAGUUCUUCCUCUUCAAUUGCUGUUUUUUCAUCUCUCUCUUCAACAACUUGUUCUUCAGGUGCCUCUUCAGCCGUUGAUUCUUCAGGUUUCUCUUCAAGCACUAGUUCUUCAGGUGUUUCCUCCUUUGCCAGCUCUUCAGGUGUUUCUUUAGCUGCCAGUUCUUCAGGUUUCUCUUCAGCUGCCGAUUCUUGAGGUAUUUCCUUUACCUGUACUUUAGAUUUCUCCUCAAAUGUUGGUUCUUCAGGUUUCUCCUUAACCGCAGGUACAUCAGGUUUCUCUUCAGCUGCUGGUUUUUGAGGUUUCUCCUCUACUUGUACCUCGGAUUUCUCCUCAACCAUCGGUUCUUCAGGUUUCUCCUCAACCUCUGGUACGUCAGGUUUCUCUUCAUUAACAAGUUCUUCACUUUUUUCUUCAAUAGUUGAUUCUUCAGGAUUUUCCUUAGUGUCUGGAGAGUAAGCAACAUCAUUAUUGGUAUUGCAUGGAAUUUCACUGCCAGUUGUGUCGUUCGACUCUACCAUUGGCAUAUUCUGCAGAAAGAAUUUAAUGUUUCACUUUGCCUUUCAAUAAAGAAGCCGAUGUAAAUCAGAGGACAUACAUAACUAAAAAAGAUGGAUUAACUUUGUGAUAGUGUUUGACUCUUACCUUUUCGAAAAGAGUUAUCUUUUCAGGUUUCUCCUCUUCAACUGUUGGUUCUUCAUGUUUCUCUUCAAAUGCUAGUUCCUCAGGUGUUUCUUCCUGUAUUGGUUCCUCAGGUGUUUCUUCUUCUGUUACUUGCUUUUCAGGUUUCUCCUCAAUUGUUGGUUCUUUGAUUGUCUCCCCAAUCGAUGGUUCUUCAAGCUUUCCCCCCCCUGUUGGUUUUUCAGGUUUCUCUUCAAUUUUCGGUUGUUCAGGUAUUUUCUCAACUGCCGGUUCUUCUGCCUUCUCCAACACCAUUGAUUCUUCAGAUUCCUCUUCAAUUGAUGAUUCUUCAUGGGUUUUUUUAACUACUGACUCUUCUGUGUUUUCCUCAACUGAUGCAUAAUCAGCAAUGUCGUUGUCGGUAUUGCUUGGAAUUGCAUUGUCUAUCUUGUCCUUUGAGUUUAAUUUUGGCAUAUUCUGCAAUAAAGUUUCAUGUAGUCUUUCAAUAGAUAAACAGAUGUAAAUUUGUUGCACUCAUAAAGCUAAUAUGAUGGAUAAAAUUUGUGACAGUGUUUAAUCCUCACCUUCUCCUGAAAAACUUCUGUUUCAAGUUCCUCCUCUUCAAUUGCUGCUUUUUCAUCUUUCUUCUCUACAACUAAUUCUUCAGGUUCCUCCUCAACGGUUGAUUCUUCAGGCUUUUCUUCAAGUACUAGUUCUUCAGGUGUUUCCUCCUUUGCUAGCUCUUCAGGUGUUCCUUUAGCUGCCGGUUCUUCUGGCUUCUCUUCAGCCUCCGGUUUUUGAGAUAUCUCCUCUACUUGAACUUUAGAUUUCUCAUUAAUUGUUGGUUCUUCAGGUUUCACCUCAACCGCUGGUACAUCAGAUUUCUCCUCAUUAACUGGUUCUUCAGGUUUUUCUUCAACAGCCAAUUCUUCAGGAAUUUCCUCAAUGUCUGGAAAGUGAACAACAUUAUUCUUCGUAUUGCAUGGAAUUUCACUGCCACUGUUGUCGUUCGAGUCUAUAAUUAGCAUAUUCUGCAUAAAGAAUUCAAUGUUUUACUUAGCCUUUCAAUAAAGAAGCAGGUGUGAAUCACAAUACAUGCAUAUCUAACAAAAUGGAUAAACUUUGUGAUAGUGCUUGGCCCUUACCUUUUCUAAAAGAGUUUCCUUUUCAGGUUUCUCCUCUUCGAUGGCUGGUUCUUCAUGUUUCUCUUCAAAUGGUAGUUCAUUUGGUGUUUCUUCUCGUGUUGGUUCUUCAGGUGCUUCCUCAGUUACUGGUUUUACAGGUUUCUCUUCAACUGUUAGUUCUUCGAGUGUCUCCUCCAUCGAUGGUUCCUCAAGUUUCUCUCUUGCUGCUGGUUUUUCAGAUUUAUCUUCAACUAUCGGUUGUUCAGGUUUAUUCUCAAUCGCUGGUUCUGCAGGCUUCUCCGAAACCGCUGAUUCUUCAGAUUUCUCUUCAAUUGGUGAUUCUUCGUGUUUUUUUUCAACUACGGGUUCUUCAGUUUUUUCCUCAACUGAUGCAUAAUCAGCACUAUCAUUGUUGGUAUUGCAUGGAGUUGCAUUUUCUGUCUUGUUCUUUGAGCCUACAAUUGGUGAAUUCUGCAAAAAAUUUAAAAUUUCAUUUAGUCUUUAAAUAGAUAAACAGAUGUAAAUUCAUUGCACAUAUAAAGCUAAUAUGAUAGAUAAACUUUGUGACAGUGUUUAAUCUUCACCUUCUCCUGAAGAGCUUCCAUUUCUAGUUCCUCCUCUUCACUUGCUGGUUUUUCAUCUUUCUCUUCAACAACUAGUUCUUCAGGUGUCUUUAUAGUCUUUGAUUCUUCAGGUGCUUCUUUAUCUGCCCGUUCUUCAGGUUUCUCUUCAGCCACCGGUUCUUGAGGUAUAUUCUCUUGUACUUCAGAUCUCUCCUCAAUUAUUGGUUCUGCAGGUUUCUCUUCAUUGUCUGGUUCUUUGGGUUUUUCUUCGACAGCCAAUUCUUCAAGAUGAUUUUCCUCAAUGUCUGGAAAGUGAGCAACAUCAUUAUUGGUAUUGCAUGGAAUUUCACUGUCAGUUUUGUCGUUCAAGUCUACAAUUAGCACAUUCUGCAAAAAGAAUUUAAUGUUUCACUUAGCCUUGCAACAAAAAAGCAGAUGUGAACAACAAUAUGUGCAUAACUAACAAAAUGGAUAAAUUUUGUGAUAGUGCUUACCUUUUCAGGUUUCUCCUCUUCAACCGCUGGCUCUUCAUAUUUCUCUGCAAGUGCUGGUUUUUCAGGCUUCUCUUCAACUGUCAGUUGUUCAGUUUUCUUAUCAAUGACCAGUUCUUCAAGAUUCUCCGAAACAACAGAUACUACAGAUUUAUUUUCAAGUGCAAGUUCUUCAUGUGUUUCCUCUCCUGCAAACUCUUCAGAUGUUACUUUUGAUGUCGGUGCUACAGGUUUCUCUUCAAGUGCUAGUUCUUCAUGUGUUUCCUCCCCUGCUAGCUCUUCAGUUUUUUCUUUCGAUGUUGGUUCUUCAGGUUCCUCUUUAACCUCUGGUACAUCAUGUUUCUUUUCAAUAACUAAUUCUUCAGGUUUUUCUUCAACUUCAACUGCUGGUUCUUCGAGUUUUUUCUCAAUUUCUGGAAAGUGAGCAGUAUUGUUGUUGGUAUUGCAUGGAAUUUCAUUAUCAGUUUUGUCCUUAGAGUCUACAACUAGCAAAUUCUGCAAGAAGUAUUUAAAGUUUCACUUAGUCUUUUGUAGAUAAGCAGAUGUGAAUUGUUACACUUACAUAACUAAUAGGAUGGAUAAACUUUAUCACAGUGCCUGACCCUCGCCUUAUCCAAAAGAGUUACCUUUUCAGAUUUCUCUUCAAAUGCUAGUUCAUUUGGUGUUUCUUCCCGUGUUGGUUCUUCAGGUGCUUCUUCAGUUACCCUUUUUUCUGGUUUAUCUUCAACUGUUGGUUCUUCUAGUGUCUCCUCAAUCGAUGGUUCUUCAAGUUUCUCCCUUGGUGCUAGUUUUUCAGAUUUAUCUUCAACUGUUGGUUGUUCAUGUUUAUUCUCAACCGCUGAUUCUUCAGGCUUCUCCAAAACCGCUGAGUCUUCAGAUUUCUCUUCAAUUGUUGGUUCUUCAUGUUUUUUUUCAACUACUGGUUCUUCAGUUUUUUCCUCAACUGAUGCAUAAUCAGCAAUAUCUUUGCUGGUAUUGCAUGGAAUUGCAUUUUCUGUCUUGUUCAUUGGGUCUACUAUUGGCGAAUUCUGCAAAAAAAUUUAAAGUUUCUUUUAGUCUUUCAAUAGAUAAACAGAUGUAAAUUCGUUGCGCACAUAAAGCUAAUAUGAUGGAUAAACUUUGUGACUGUUUAAUCCUCACAUUCUCCUGAAGAGCUUCCAUUUCAGGUUUCUCCUCUUCAAUUGCUGGUUUUUCAUCAUUCUCUUCAACCACUAGUUCUUCAAGUGUAUCUUCAACCGUUGGUUUUUCAGGUUUCUCUUUAAGGGUUUCCUCCCCUGCUAGAUCUUCAGAUGUUUCUCUUUCUGUUGGUUCUUCAGGUUUCUCUUCAGCCUCUGGUUUCUUAAUUUUUUCCUCAAAUGAUUCUUCAGAUUUCUGCUCAACUGUUGGUAAAUCAGGUUUCUCUGGUUCCUCGGGUUUUUCUUCAACUGCUGGUUCCUCAACUUUUGCAAAGUUAGCAGCAUCGUUUAGGGUAUUGCAUGGAAAUUCUUUGUCAGUUUUGUUGUUUGAGUCUACAGCUAGCAUUUUCUGCUAGAGGAAUUUAAAGUUUCAGUUAGUCUUUAAGUAGAUAAGCAAAUAUGGACUGUUGCACAUACAUAACUAAGACAAUGGAUAAACUUUGUGCCAGUGCUUGAUCCUCACCUUUUCCAAGAGAGUUACCUUAUUAGGUUUCUCCUCUUUAACUGCUGGUUUUCCACCUUUCUCUUCAACUGCUAGUUGUUCUGUUGUUUCUUCAACUGUUCGUUCUUCAAGUUUUUCUUUGAAUUCUAAUUUUUCCGGUGUUUUUUCCCGUGUUGGUUCUUUUGGUGUUUCUUCAACUACUAGUUCUUCGAGUUUCUCUUCAGCUGCUGUUUUUUCAAAUUUCUCCUGAACCUCUGUUUCUUUCUCUUGCACAACUGGCUCUUCAGGGUUUUUUUCAACUUCUGGUUCUUCAUGUUUCUCUGUAACUGUUGGUUCUUUAUGUUUCUCUUCAAUCAUUGGUUCUUCAUGUUUUUCUUCAACUGCUAGUUCUUCAGAUUUUUCCUCUACUGCUGGAUGGUCAGCAACAUCUUGGUUUCCCUUCUCGAUUAAGUUGUUCCCGUGUUUCCCGCUCGUAUCUGAUUCAGCAUCAUCUAAUCUAGUUUCUUCGACAACGUUAAUAAAUGAGUUACCAAGCACAAAUUGUUCUUGUACCAUUCGACCGUCAUCCUUGUCCGAGCUAGUUGCUGAUUCUUUUGCAUUUUCUGGGUAGCCAUUUGAAGAAAUAUUUUCAGCUGGGCUGAUUUCUACUCUUUCAUCUUCUGUUUUCUCCCCCUGGUGGAAUGAACUCCCGAAGAUCUGUUCAUCUGACUUGUUUGGUGUAUCGACUGACACAUGGACCUCUAUUGAACUGCCAUUUUCUUCAACAGCCUUGGAAACUAAGGGUGAUGCAUAAAAAAUUUCACCCCCAGUGAUUCCAUAGUUACCUUUAGUCAGAUCCUUAAUACUUGCAACCUCUGAAGCUCUUUCAAAUUCAGAUUGUGAAUGGCCCUUCUCGUCUUUCUCCAUCUUCAGUUUGUCUGAUAUUGUAUACACUUCCCCUAGCAAAUUCUCUUUUUUUUCCUGCAUAAAGGAAUGAUUUUUGCUAUGUCGUUACAGAAUUAAGAGAAAAUGUGUUUAACUUAUCUAACAUUGGCAGAGCAGCACUGAAGUUACAACAGGAUAUUUGUCAGACUAACCCUGCGAUAUUGGAACUGCAUGUAUUAGCAAGAUCUCUGUUUUAUCAUUGAAAUGGAGUUACUAACCCAAGCCUAGUGGUAAAAGCCGCAGAUGUCCCAACAUAGGACCUAUUCAGUAAACCCAUGUUUGAGAAUCCCCCCAGAAAGAGUUGCUAUUACUCUUCCCUGUAUUAACCAAUUAAUCUCCAACAGGACCUAUUUACUCUUCGUAUAAUGUAUCAGAUAUUCUUCAUUGGCGUAAAGAGACUGCAACAGUAUGGAGGGAGGUGAUUAGGAAUGAUAUGGAGCAGUUACAGCUUACGGAGGACAUGACCCUUGAUAGGAAGGUGUGGAGGACGCGGAUUAGGGUAGAGGGUUAGGGGGUGGGAGUGCGUCGGUAUCAGUAGGGGAGCGUUCUUUUGUGUCUAGAGUUUCUUGUUCGUGGUGUUGUGGCUGUAGUAUUAUCUUGGGGCUAGCGGUGUUAGUUUAUUUUGCAUACCGUACUAGCUUAUAUGCACUUAUCUUUUGUGUUUGUUAUAUUGUUGGUUUAUUUUGCAUACCGUACUAGUUUACAUGUACUUAUCUUUUGUGUUUACUAUACUAUUAUCGGUCCUAAGCCGGGGUCUAUCGGAAACAACCUUUCUACCUCUCUACCUCACCUGAGGUAAUGGUAUGGUCUGCGUACACUCUACACUCCCUAGACCCCACUAUGUGGGAAUAUACUGGGUAUGUUGUUGUUGUUGUUGUUGGCGUAAAGAGACUGCAGUAUUAAACAAUAGGAAAAACAAUGCAGGAAUACUUCUACCUACAAUAUUUGAAGUUUGUGAAAAGUCGAUGAGAUACUGUUUAUUGCAUGUACAAGUGAUGUGUUAGUGGCUUCUAAAGAAAGAUAAAUUUUGAGUUAUCAGUUGGGUAAAUACAGAUUAGUUCGUCAGUUGGGGGCUUAAGUUAUUUACUUCUGAGAGUAUAUAUAUUAAUUACCAGUAGCAUGUUUCUAGAUUAGCUUGAUGUGACAAAGAAGUUAUAUAGAGAAUUUGAAGUGUUGGUGUCAAACAGUCAUGAUAAUCCAAUUACCUCUAACAUUUUCCGUUAAGUGUUUCUAAAAUAUGAGAAUAUUGAUUUGAAAUGUAUAUUUAUAAUUUCUCCAUGUAAGAACUUGAGUGGAACAAUUCUCCUUCCAGGCUAACUAGAUGUCGUCUCACACAAUUAAAAUGAGGAACACGUUGUUGUUCUAAGCUCAUGUUCGCUCCUCAAAACUAACACCUCAGACCAUACUAAACUUCAUUUCAGAAUAUGACAGCUAAUGUUAAAAUGAAGUAUUCACUUUCUCCUUGCUAAAGCUACCACAAUCUGUUAUGGAGUCGGGGCAAUACAAUUAACAAGAAAAUGAAUCUUUAGUUACACCCAAACUCAGCCUUUGUUUCCCUAUAGUUCUCUUUCGACCACAAGCUAUAAUUUUCUUUUAAUUAAACCAGUAUCUUUCAAUGCUAAUUUAUUUACGAAGAGUUUUUUUGAAAGUCAGAUUUCAUUAAUUCGUUUCUGUGCUAAUUUAAGUUUUCCCUAGGUAUUCUUUUUGUCAAUAUCUAUAUUCUAUAGUCUUUUGGAGAGGGUCAAGUUUUCAGUACUACAUUAUUAAAGGUGAGUAGUUGAGAAUUAAUAAUUGUGCUGAUUUGUUUCUGUGCCAUUUCUUUUUAGGCUAGCUUUGGAUGGCUUCAGGAGGAGUAGAGGUAGGCGAAAGAAAUACUGGAGGGAGGUAAUUAGGUAGGACAUGAAGUUGUUUCAGCUUACUGAGGACAUGACCCUAGACAGGAAGGUGUGGAGGUCGUGGAUUAGGGUAGAAGGCUAGUGUGAGUGGGUGGGUUGUGGCUAGGUGUUAGUAGAGUUUGGGUGUGAUAGGUGUCUUAGGUCUGUGAAUGUGUGUGACUACUACAUGGGUAUCCGUUUUCCUUAUUUCUUAUUACGUAUUGUUCGUUGUUCUCUUAUUUUCUUUUCUCGGAUAUCUAGUGUUAUUAUUUCUUACCUUUUAUUUUGUUAUGCUACCCAUCCAGUUUUAUAUUUCAUUACGAUCUUGGUAUAUUAUUCUAUAUCUUGAGCCGGGGGUCUAUCGGAAUCAACCUCUCUACUUCCUCGGAGGUAGCGGUAUGGACUGCGUACAUUUUACCCUCCCCAGACCUCACUUUGUGGGAAUACACUGGGACUGUUGUUGUUGUUGUUGUUGUAUUACCCCUCCAUACAUACACAUAUAUAGAAGUCAAGUUGCUAUUGCCUAAGAAGAAGAUCAACUAAAAUAUAGAACAUACAGCCAGGAACUUGUAUGUUAUCUCAGGAUCGAGUUUUUAUUGUAAAAUAAACAAUUUGAACCAGUUGAAUAUCUACUAAUUGUAGAAAUAACAUACAAGUUCCGAAAAUAGGAAACCUCUAUUAAAUGAUGGGCAAAUCUAAACAAAUUUUCUUUUUUCAUCGAAGACUGCAUGGCAGUAAUUUUAGAUGAAGACGGUAACCCUUAAUUCGGUUCUUUAGCGACCAUCUUUGUGGUUUGAAGAAAAUUGGUAAUGAUCUGGUAAAGUUAUUUCACUAGCAUACUUCAUAUUACACAGUUGUUUCAGAUAUGAUCUCUGAUCAUGCAGUGUCUUUUUUCUCAGAAAAAGGUCUUUUCACAUACAUGAAAGCAAUCUUGACUACUGAAAAAAAGAUGUAGAAGUAACUGUUGCGGCUAAUGGAAAUGAUAAACACGCAAAAUGAUGAAGUAUCAUGCUCACAUAAAGUAAAACAAGUGAGUUAACUUACGCUUUUGUUCUCUGGUAUUUCAGCUAUGUAUUCCAAUUCUCGUGAGCUGAUCGCUGAAUUGCUGUGUUUACGUUUUCUCAACCUCCCUAAAGACUAUCAGAGUGUGUUUUGUACAACUGAACUGGACUGAAAAUUCUCAUAGCUAUAAGUAGAGAUUCUCUAAGUAUGUCGAUGCAGGAUUACAAUAGUUAUAUAAUUAUUAAUUGAUGACCAUGUUGUUAAAGUAGAUAGAAAAUGACAAAUCCACUUGCUAAUCCUACUAAUAUUAUGAGUUGGAAAUAGACGUGGUCCUUUUGAAUGAUGAGUAGUCACAUGCCCCUCUAGUAUAGCUUUUCUAGUCAUCAAACAGUCAGAUAAUUGUUUCUAAUUUAUAACUGCAGGGAUUGUGCUGCUGACAAGAAGAAACUGCCACAAGAAUUUACUGUUCACUUCAUCCCAGGUUAUGGUUAUAAAUUCCUUUUAGGGUCAUAUAUUUUACUUAAAGUAGAGUAACAUGCCUUUCUAACAUACUUUAGAUAGGUGUUCUCAGAUUGCUACAUUUCACAGUGGCUUGAAUUUCCCUACCAAUUCGUUUAGUUGAUUUACUUGAUCUUNNNNNNNNNNNNNNNNNNNNNNNNNNNNNNNNNNNNNNNNNNNNNNNNNNNNNNNNNNNNNNNNNNNNNNNNNNNNNNNNNNNNNNNNNNNNNNNNNNNNNNNNNNNNNNNNNNNNNNNNNNNNNNNNNNNNNNNNNNNNNNNNNNNNNNNNNNNNNNNNNNNNNNNNNNNNUCCCUACAAAUUCGUUCAGUUGAUUUACUUGAUCUUGGAAAACUUUUGACUUGAAUAUUAAUGCAUUUUGUUAGUGAUCCUAAAAUCUGUUUGACCAUUAUUUUAGUGAGCUUAAAUGGAGCAACUUAGACAAUGAGGAUCGAUAUAGUCGACCUCCAACUUGCUUGAGACUGAGUUGUAGGUGUGCUUGUAUUUGAGCCAAGAAGGUAAAUAGUUACCUGGACCUAGUGUUCACAACGAUCAUACUAAUUUCCCAUGGUUAAGUCAUAAAUUAAGUUGAGAAUGGGUAUUUAUUUAACCGAGCUUUAGUGAUUAAAGUGUAUUUAAAGACGUAGUAUUAUAUUCAUUGAGUUUGUGCAAAAGGAAAAGAAGCCAUUUCUAAAGGUAAUAAAAGGAGGCAUAAUCAUUUUUAAAGGUACAAGAUGUCAAGUCAGGUAAAAAAGGUCAGAUUAUAUUUUCCUCCUGGUCUUAAGGUAAAUUAAAGGGAAACCUCUGUAAAGUCAUGAAAAUAGUACCAACAACUUUACAAGCCAUAAAGACGGCACAAAGGAGCGGAAAGAGCGCGAUUUAGGGAUUUUAAAUCCAUAGAUGUAAAGUUCCACUGCAUCUAUUAUCACUGAGCAUAUUGUAUUUCUUUUUCAUACAUGUUUUCAAGUCUUUUAAUUAAAUUGAGGAUGUAUCGAAAACACCCUCUCUACCUACCUUCAUAAGAUAGGGCAACAUGUCAAUAGUAGAAGUUAACUACCUGAUGACCCGGUAGACAAACAUAAUAAAAAAGAAUCAAAAAGAGCAGGUUGCUGAGAUGUACAAAGAGGAAACUCCCAUGUUCCAUGUCACUCAUAGACGUGGAAAAAACUGUUUUAUUCGUACGUAAAAUUGCAAAUAAUUGAUAAUAAAGUUAAAAAAAUAUGACUAGGAUAAAUGAAUUGCAAAAAGUAAUUGGUUUUAAACAAGGAGUUGUCUCAAUCAAACCAUUCAAAAACAAGAUAGAUGAUUUGUCUUUUUCCCCCGCCCCUUUAGGCUGGAUAUAAAGUAAGCAAAUAGCAAUACUUCAACUUUUUAUGUUUUAUUCUAUUUUCUUUUCUUCCAUCUUCCUUAAAUAUGUAAAAAAAAUCUUCCUUAAAAAUGUUGCAAUAAUGUAUUUAAAGGACCAAAAUAGAAAAUGAAAGGCGACAUUACACCACUUUGAUGAAUCAAAGGUCGGAUAAGCACGAAAAUUUAGUGUAUUUCGGAUCUUAAAAAUUUGUAUCCUUCGGUUAAAAAAAAAAAUAAAAAUAAAACUUACAUAAAUGCCAACAAGUUUACCCCUAUUGUUUGUUAAAUUACAAUUAAUCCUUUAUUUUGCAAUUUUUGAAUUCAUAAUUAGCAUUCGGAUAUAUAAUUUUGAAAUUGAGAUACAUAAUUUUGAAUUUAAAAAUUUAACAGUAAAUUACUCCAUUUUUUGUUCGAUACAUAAUUAGCAUCUCAAUACAUAAUUUUGAAAUUGAAAUACAUAAUUUUGAUUACCGAGAUACAUUUAUUUAUUAAAUUAUUUAAUCGAGAUACAUAAUACAUUAACAAGAGAUACAUAAUUAAAAUUAUGUAUUCGAAGCUUUAUGGGUUUGUGGAUGUAUCCAAUUAUUAUUUUUUUUUAAAGAAAAAAGAAUUUAGGUGGUUAAUAAAAAAAGUAGAGAUUUUAUGUAGCUUAAUAAAGAUAAAUUGUGGUGUUAUGUAAACUAUCCACUUUGCCGUAAUAGAUUGUAGUUAUGAUUGGUUUAUACUCAAUGUACAACAAGUGAGCUUAGUUAUUUUUUGUAUUACAUAAUCAUUAUAGGGUUAAAAUUUGUUUUAGAAAAGAAGAUAUAUCAUGGAUGUUUUUUGUUGCGAGCUCUAUUAGAUUGUUGUGUAGUGUAAAAAUCCUUAAUUGUAUUGAGUUUUAGGCAUUAUGCGGUGACGGUAUAAACUGUAAAAAGUAUGUAUAUGAUCAGGUUGCUUAUAAAGUGGUUUUAGAAAAAUUAUCACAAAGAUGCAUUAGUUGAUAACUUGAUUAAAGUGGUAAUCAGCUGUUAGAAUAGGUUAAACUACAAUGAUAGUAUAGAUAAUACGUAUUUAUUUUGCUAGUAUAUAUAAUUUAAAUUUGAUUGCAUUUAGCAAGUGGUGAC